GUUUUUUUUUUAAUGCUUUUCAAGAGGAAUAUAAAGAAGAUGAAGAAAAAGAAACAAUGGAAGUAGUCUAUAUGAUAAAGAAGACUGUUAUGCUUGAUAAUAUGUAGUUGUCUUAUAGUUCCUUUAGGAAUUAGUAAGAAUGUAAGAUUGUGGUUUUAAGUCUUUUUAACAUGUUUAAUUUCAUUUUUAUUUCGGAUUUCAAACAAAAAACUGAUUCUAAGAUUCUAAAUGCUUUGAAUUAUGAAUAUGAGAAAUUUUAUAUAAUAUUAAUUGUCUUCUACUAUUAACAAUUAAUCUUAAAUUCAUUUCUUCUGCACCUUGCCUCUAACAGGCGCGCCUUGCACCUAGGCUCCAAGAUUCCUUUAUUUCCUAAUGUUUCUUGUGCCUUUAAUAACUAGGAGCAUUGUAUAAUUGCAUGAGGUUCUUAACAUGCUCAUAAAAUUGUGAAGUGUGCAACAAGAUGCAUUCACAAUGUGGCUAGGCCAAAUGAGAAACUCAAGGAAAUUUUUAGCCAUGUGAAAGAAGGCAUUAUAUAUUACUGAUGCUUCCCUUCCCGAUAAAAGCAUAGUGAAUAAUAAUAGAUUGAUAGAAAAGUAAGAAAACUCCAGAAAUAAAAAUGACAAUUUCCA
rnacentral:misc_RNA from 1 species